ensembl:lncRNA
UGACAGAACUUGUUAGGUUUUUAUCUUUUAUUUGACCAUUUCAUUUUCUCUUCAUCUUGUACACUCAUAGGUUAUCUCCCAUUUUAACCCAAAACAAAGAUAACUUAAUAAGCAUAUCCUUCCAUGAGCUUUUAAAAGAGGCACCCUGUGGGAUGCAUUUCAAAUCUUUUCAUUGUAUCAGAUGUUUAUUUUCACACCCAGAAACAAUAACAUUAUAAAAACAAGAACAAAAAAACCCCCAAAAACCCAGGUUUAUUCAGUCAUUUCAAUGAAAGAUAAAUCCUAUAAAUCAGGACCACCAGUAUUUCAACAACCAUAUCUGAAUGAGUCAAGCAAUCAAUCUCUUAAAACUGUUCUUGGGCUACCUUAAAUCACAGAGUCGGUAUGUUUCCAACACCUCAUUAUGUUUCACAAUGGUGAACCCUGCAGCUCCUCCAUUCAGAGGGUCACAUUUUUAGUCUGGUUUCAUUCACUCACAAAAGAAAAGCAGCUAUGGAGAGAGAAAAGGAAAUAAACCACCUCUAUCAAGGGAAUCGCUGCUAUUAUUGCAAGAGGCUCCGGAGGGGCCAUUAGAAACGUGGGUGUCUGCAUGUCUUUGCUCUAAAUCCCUCCCACCUUCAUUUUCUAUCACAUACAAACAUCCCAAGGGAGGAACCCCAAAGGAGGGCUCGAAGCUAGACAGAAAAGGGAGACGCUAGGAGGGUCAGAGAGCAAGAAAAGGAAACAUAAGUGAGCGCUUUUUUCCUAACAGUUUCUAGGAAAUCUUGAUCCCUGGCCAAGAGCUGUAGUCAACAGCAGGAGGAGCUCUAAAAAGGAGUAUGCGCCGAGAGCCCGCAUCUACCAUCCCCUCCCCGCUAGUAGGCACAGCGUGCAUGUCCUCAGGAGACACCCAGCAGUUGCAAAACACAGGGCUCCACUUGGAGUACAAGCAGAACUAGCCAGGAUACAGUUACUCUCCUGCCAGGAGAGUCACAACAUAGCUUGUGGGAAACAGUGACCUUGAAGGAAACAGAUUGGAAGGACAGAUUCUCAAAGGUCUCUUCAGACUGCAAGGAGCAUUUAACCUCAACUAUUUUCCACCCCACCUAGUAAAUCCUACUCAGUCCCUCUCCUCUCCCCGGAAAAAGUCAACUGCCCAUUCCCAGUAGAGAAUGGGAUGGGUCCCAUUCAACCCAUUCCGCCCCCAAUUUAUUCUCCGACCAUUAUUUCUUCCCAAUGCAACUGUAGCACCAUUUUCCUUAACAAUUUCCCAAAAUAAAAAAAAAAACACGCGCACAUAAUUAACAGUUUUCAAGUGUUAUAAAAAAAAAAAAUCCGCUUUUGAACCCAUCAGAUCCCCACAUUUUUAAUCCAAACACUGGACCUCAGAGAGAAAAAUUAGGCCCAGUCAAUGAAAGUAGUAGCUGCCAUAUUAGUUUAUCUGAACAGAUUGGGGUAUUUGCUCACAGGUCCCCGAGGCCGACAGUAAAUAUCCAAGGUAAACCACCAAGACCCAUCCUAGCAACUUUCCAAAACCCCUUUCCCCUCCCCAGUCUGUAAAGUUGUGGAUUCCUCAUUUGCCUCCAAUUAGGCAGACGGUCCCUUUUCUUUGCCUUCCCACCCCAUUCCUCGGGUUCCCAAGUUCAUUCACGUCAGUCUGAGGUGGCAGUUUGCAGAAUCUCAGUCGCCCCUCUUCUCGCCUUUUGGCCUUCUGGGUCCACUAGCUGCUGGAGACCAGAAUGUCAUCAGUGGGUCGGUGGUCCAAGUUUUCUCUGGGUUAGAGCAGGCUGGUCGUGGAGGGCUGCAGGGAGAUAGAGUCCCUCCCGCCCCAGUCGCUCCCACCCCCGGGGGCAAAGACGAAAGAGGGGCUGGUGUCGGGGGUAGCGGAGCUCCCGGCGCCUGUAACCGCGGCCACAGCUCUCUGAAGUCGCCGCACGGCUUCCUUGAUGAGGUCCCCCGAGAGGAGAAGUUGCUGCAGAAGCCGGUGGGAGUCGUUCCCUCCUGCCCGGAGUCCCGGCUGCCCUCGGUGCCGGUGCCGGUGCCGGUGGUGGUGGUGGUGGUGGUGGUGGUGCCGGUGCCGCUGACGGCGGGAGUGGGCGGCGCCUCGAAGCCAGGUGCGCCUGCACGGGCCCGCCAGCGGCUGCGGGAGGCCCCGCUUGCAGAUGUGCAGGGCAGAGGUGCUGCUCCGGCUCGGUGCUCCCCCCGGGACGCAGGGACUCGACGGCACGCGGGACGGAAGGGGCGCGAUGGCGCCCACGUUGCUCGCCCAGGACAGGGCAGCGCCGGCCCCGUUCCCAGGCCACUGCAGCGGUCCCGACGGCUGCAGGGGCGCCGGAGCCGGUUCCGGAGGCGGCAGCAGCGGCGACGGCUGCUUGCGCGCCAGGGGCUCCCGGGGGGCGGGCCGACUCACGUGCGCCGCGUCCAGUCGCAGCAACUCCCCGAUCUGGGCCACCAGCCUGUCCACAUCCCCCGAGCCCCCGACAGUCACCGACUGCUGCAGCACGAGGAAGCUCUCCUCUUCCUCCCCCUCCUCCUCGUAGUCCUCCGCUCCAGACGCCGCCGUCUCGUAGUCCUCGUCCUCCUCCCUCCGGCACGGCAUGGCCUCGGUCCGCAGCUCGGACUCUGGAGCUCCGCCGCCGCCGCUGCUGUCCCUCCUCAGUCCCUGACGGGCUCCGGCGGCAGCUCCCGAAGACAAGGCGCUAGGGUCUAGCACCGAGCCGGCCGCACCAAGUGCCGCCACCGCCGCCGCAGCUCCGGGAACUGGAGCUCAGCCGGUUCAGUUCGAUUUGUAAACAAUGGGUGACGCGAGGCGUUCGGGCGCUACCACUGCUGCAGGGCGGGGGAGCGUGGGAAUGGAGGGGCUCGGCUGUCUGGAAGGGUCCCGCAGGGCGCGCUGCGGAAGCUUCCCGAGGCGCGGGUGCGGAGCCUUCCUUUUACUGCAGCCGCCCAGCCCUGGGCGAUGGAGACUUCUCGUGAGCUAGCUCGGCAGCUCCGGACCCGCCACUUUCAUUCCACCCCUACGCGUUUGUUCCGGCUGGACUCGCCUUGCCCUCCCCUAGGAGCCCUUGGCUUGGGGUGGGUCUUGCUCUCCCAGGGUUUGGGUUGAAUGGGUAUUAUAACGGAGAGGGGUGAAAAUGCCUAUUAUUCAUCCUGGAAAAGACCGGGCAAGAGAAAAACCCCGGCUACAAAGCCGUGAGAAG